UACGGAGGGGGCUAGCGUUGUUCGGAAUUACUGGGCGUAAAGCGCACGUAGGCGGCUUUGUAAGUUAGAGGUGAAAGCCCGGGGCUCAACUCCGGAAUUGCCUUUAAGACUGCAUCGCUCGAAUUGUGGAGAGGUAAGUGGAAUUCCGAGUGUAGAGGUGAAAUUCGUAGAUAUUCGGAAGAACACCAGUGGCGAAGGCGACUCACUGGCUCGUUUCUGACGCUCAGGCGCGACAGCGUGGGGAUCAAACAGG
rnacentral:rRNA from 1 species